rnacentral:lncRNA from 1 species
CUUUGUCUGGUGAGAUGAAGUUAGGCUGUGUCAGAUGGGAGCUUGUCCGUGUGUGUGUAUGGGGGUGUGUGUGAGUGUGUGUGUGGAUAGAUGUAUUACAUCACGGAGGUGUAUGGAUACACGUAUGCCUGUACCUACACUGAAAAGGCAAU